rnacentral:rRNA from 1 species
AUGGACGAGGCCAUUGUGUGUGCAACACAUGGAGCCAUGGGCUCCGUGCUACGGAAGCUGGGUGCUUUGCUCUCUGAUGAGUAUAAACUUCUCAGAAGUGUGAAAGGUGAUGUCAUGUUCCUUAAAGCUGAGCUUGAGACCAUGCAUGCUUUUCUCAAGAUGAUGUCCGAGGUUGAGGAUCCUGAUGAGCUGUCCAAGUGUUGGAUUAAGGAGGUACGAGAGCUGUCCUAUGACAUCGAGUAUGGCAUCGACAGUUUCAUGCUG